CGAAGGGGGCGUAGCGUUGCUCGGAAUCACUGGGCGUAAAGGGUGCGUAGGCGGGUUUUAAGUUCAGGGGUGAAAUCCUGGAGCUCAACUCCAGAACUGCCUUUGAUACUGAAGAUCUUGAGUCCGGGAGAGGUGAGUGGAACUGCGAGUGUAGAGGUGAAAUUCGUAGAUAUUCGCAAGAACACCAGUGGCGAAGGCGGCUCACUGGCCCGGUACUGACGCUGAGGCACGAAAGCGUGGGGAGGCAAACAGGAUUAGAUACCCUGGUAGUCCACGCCGUAAACGAUGAAUGCCGGCCGUUAGUGGGUUUACUCACUAGUGGCGCAGCUAACGCUUUAAGCAUUCCGCCUGGGGAGUACGGUCGCAAGAUUA
rnacentral:rRNA from 1 species